GCUGACUCCAUCCAUCCCAUGCACCAAUAGAUUAUUUCUCCCUGUCUUUCUUGUGAACACAUGUCUGAGUUCUGGCCGGUGGACUCUCCUGCACCUGUUCUAGGUCUGGUCCACAGAACCUUCCAUGUGCGACCCACCCUGCACUCCCCUUUCUUCAUCAGCCUCGAAAGCCAUGAGCUGGAGAUGUUGGAGGCACCAGCUGGAAGGAGCCUGCGUCCUUGAGUUGCUGCUUGGAUGAGAACUGCCUACAAAUCAGGGACAUCAGCCUGGGACUUUAAUUGGACAUAGUUAUGAAGCGGCCUGUUCUUGUCUUGGUCCUGCCUGGUCCCACAGUGGCUUCUUCUGA